UCCUUCGCGCUGUUUCACCGUCGCGCCGUUUGCGUUCGCCGUGCCACCUAGCUAGGCAAACACAAACACCCCUGCUGCUAUGCUAUCAAAUACGUGUUUCUCUUGCUGCUGUGAUCGGGAGCGUUUCUCAGCUGGAGCUUCCUCUAUGCCGUGCUGUCAAAACUGCGAUUGUUGCGAAGGGGCGCACCUCCGGUGAAAAAGUACGCAUCGCGUCCUUUGCUUCGCAAGCCAACAGUGCGAAGACGACGCAUUGGCGGUCGCUGACUUGCCCGUAUGCCCCAGAUGAGUUUGCCGGUCGUUCUGUGAAUGGAUCGAGCGGCUUUGCGAGUCUCGGACGGUGCGUCGCACAAUCACGAAACACCGCCCGAUGAUUCGAGCCUGAGUACAUCCUCGAACGAAAGUGCCGGAGCAAAACGAAAUCCCCCUGCCAAGCCACCCCGACGGCGGCACUCGGUCACAUCGUUAAAAG
rnacentral:lncRNA from 1 species